GACGAACGCUGGCGGCGUGCCUAAUACAUGCAAGUAGGACGAGUUGCGAGUGGGUGAGUAAUGUCUUGGAAACUGCCUGAUGGCGGGGGAUAACUACUGGAAACGAUAGCUAAUACCGCAUACCUUCUGAUGUGCCCAGGUGGGAUUGGCUUGUUGGUGGGGUAACGGCGCACCAAGGCGACGAUCCCUAGCUGGUCUGAGAGGAUAACCGGCCACAUUGGGACGGAGACACGGUCCAGACGCCUACGGGAGGCAGCAGUGGGGAAUAUUGCACAAUGGGCGCAAGCCUGAUGCAGCCAUGCCGCGUGUAUGAAGAAGGCUUUCGGGUUGUAAAGUACUUUCAGCGGGGAGGCGUUACCCGCAGAAGAAGCACCGGCUAACUCCGUGCCAGCAGCCGCGGUAAUUC
rnacentral:rRNA from 1 species